UACAGAUGUCUCAAGCGUUGUUCGGAUUCAUUGGCGUAAAGGGUGCGUAGGUGGCGCUGUAAGUCGGGUGUGAAAUUUCGGAGCUUAACUCCGAAACUGCAUUCGAUACUGCGGUGCUUGAGGACUGGAGAGGAGACUGGAAUUCAUGGUGUAGCAGUGAAAUGCGUAGAGAUCAUGAGGAAGACCAGUGGCGAAGGCGGGGCUCUGGACAGCUCCUGACACUGAGGCACGAAGGCCAGGGGAGCAAACGGG
rnacentral:rRNA from 1 species